rnacentral:rRNA from 1 species
AGGGUUCGAUUCUGGCUCAGGAUGAACGCUGGCGGCGUGCUUAACACAUGCAAGUCGAACGGGAUCCAUCAGGCUUUGCUUGGUGGUGAGAGUGGCGAACGGGUGAGUAAUGCGUGACCGACCUGCCCCAUACACCGGAAUAGCUCCUGGAAACGGGUGGUAAUGCCGGAUGCUCCAGUUGAUCGCAUGGUCUUCUGGGAAAGCUUUCGCGGUAUGGGAUGGGGUCGCGUCCUAUCAGCUUGACGGCGGGGUAACGGCCCACCGUGGCUUCGACGGGUAGCCGGCCUGAGAGGGCGACCGGCCACAUUGGGACUGAGAUACGGCCCAGACUCCUACGGGAGGCAGCAGUGGGGAAUAUUGCACAAUGGGCGCAAGCCUGAUGCAGCGACGCCGCGUGAGGGAUGGAGGCCUUCGGGUUGUAAACCUCUUUUAUCGGGGAGCAAGCGAGAGUGAGUUUACCCGUUGAAUAAGCACCGGCUAACUACGUGCCAGCAGCCGCGGUAAUACGUAGGGUGCAAGCGUUAUCCGGAAUUAUUGGGCGUAAAGGGCUCGUAGGCGGUUCGUCGCGUCCGGUGUGAAAGUCCAUCGCUUAACGGUGGAUCCGCGCCGGGUACGGGCGGGCUUGAGUGCGGUAGGGGAGACUGGAAUUCCCGGUGUAACGGUGGAAUGUGUAGAUAUCGGGAAGAACACCAAUGGCGAAGGCAGGUCUCUGGGCCGUUACUGACGCUGAGGAGCGAAAGCGUGGGGAGCGAACAGGAUUAGAUACCCUGGUAGUCCACGCCGUAAACGAUGAGUGCUAGGUGUUGGAUCCUUUCCGGGAUUCAGUGCCGCAGCUAACGCAUUAAGCACUCCGCCUGGGGAGUACGACCGCAAGGUUGAAACUCAAAGGAAUUGACGGGGGCCCGCAC